rnacentral:rRNA from 1 species
CAGUCGCCGCGGGAAUACGAAGGGUGCGAGCGUUAAUCGGAUUUACUGGGCGUAAAGCGUGCGUAGGCGGCUUUUAAGUCGGAUGUGAAAUCCCUGAGCUUAACUUAGGAAUUGCAUUCGAUACUGGGAAGCUAGAGUAUGGGAGAGGAUGGUAGAAUUCCAGGUGUAGCGGUGAAAUGCGUAGAGAUCUGGAGGAAUACCGAUGGCGAAGGCAGCCAUCUGGCCUAAUACUGACGCUGAGGUACGAAAGCAUGGGGAGCAAACAGGAUUAGAUACCCCAGUAGUCCCUGUCUCUUAUACA